rfam:Hordeum vulgare subsp. vulgare, WGS project CAJW01000000 data, contig: morex_contig_1569456
CUUAUACUCCCUUCGCCUGAAAAUACUUAUCGGAGAGAUGGGUGUAUCUAGACAUAUUUUAGUUCUAAAUGCAUCCAUUUCAAUUCAUUUUUACGACAAAUAAUUUUGGAUGAAGGGAGUAUUUA